rnacentral:rRNA from 1 species
GACGAACGCUGGCGGCGUGCUUAACACAUGCAAGUCGAACGGUGAAGCGCCUUCCUUUUUGGUUGGUGUGGAUGAGUGGCGAACGGGUGAGUAACACGUGAGUAACCUGCCCCCUUCUUCUGGAUAACCGCAUGAAAGUGUGGCUAACACGGGAUAUUCUGAGUCUGUCGCAUGAUGGGUCUGAGAAAGAUAUUGUUUCGGUGGGGGAUGGGCUCGCGGCGUAUCAGCUUGUUGGUGGGGUGAUGGCUUACCAAGGCGGCGACGGGUAGCCGGCCUGAGAGGGUGAGCGGCCACACAGGAACUGAGACACGGUCCAGACGCCUACGGGGGGCAGCAGUAGGGGAUCUUCCUCGAUGGGCGGAAGCCUGACGGAGCAACGCCGCGCGGGUGAGGAAGGUCGUCUUAUCGUAGGACUCUCUUAUUCGGGAAGAACAAACGUGUAAGUAACUGUGCGCGUCUUUACGGUACCUAAUCAGAAAGCCACGGCUAACUACGUG